AUUCAUGAAAGAGUCACUGAUAGCUUGCCAUCUUAAUUUUCUAUGGCCAAAUAGAGGGCACAUAAUUUACCUCUUUAUUCUGAUAAAUCAAGGAGAAUGGAUCAUUAAUGUGAGGACAUAUACACAGAGAAUAAUGGUGUGCUGGUCAGUAACUCAAUAUUGUGUAGAUAUAGGCAUUUGCCAAUUUUGAUGUCAAAUGUACAGGUAAAUGUAUAUGUUUUAAUUACUGUAUCUUUCUCAAUACCACUUGAUCCUGCUUGUUUUUAAAUGAAACCAUUUUACCAUCCACCUGCCUCAUUGAUUCAGACAGAGAAAAACCAUUAACUGUAUGAAAGUAUACUAAUCCAAUCAUGAGUCUAUUUGUGACACUUUUAUAGCUUCACAAAACUGUCAAUAAUUGACAGGAAUUUGCUGACGAACUGAUCGACAUACUGUAUUGAAAACAGGGAAAUCUGAUCAGCUACAGAAGUAAGCUGAUCCAAAGACAUGAAAUCAGAGAAUAUCCACUCUUUUUGAUGUAAUAUCUAGAAGGCUAUUUCUGAAUUAUCAUAUGCAGCAUAUGAAAUAUAGCUUGAAUUUAUCAGAUUUUGUAGUUGUGACUGAUGUGUGUACCUGAAUCAUUAAAAGUCGGUCCGCUUCUGGUGGCAAGAUGUGAGGUUUGACAGAGAGCUGCUUCCAUUUUGUGAGUCCAAUCAUCAAAGUUUCAGCGGACUAUAAUUGAACAAGGCACAUAAAAAUCAUUUAAAGGGAGAUGACUCUUCCUUUUACAUUGUUUGAAUACAUAGGAAAAAUGUCUCCUAUACAAUAAUCUAUCAAAAGGGAUUGCGUUUUGGGCCAUCCAUACCAACAUCAGACAUUCCUUUUUUUCAUUCACCACAAAAACAAAAUAUACAGUAUCUCACCUGUUUAUGGUGAUUAGCAUAAAGUGUUGCCAUGGCAUUUAGUCUGUCCAAUAGAAAACAGUGACAUUUCCUCUCCUCAAGAAGAGCCUGAAGGUAUAAAAAGUUUGAGUAGAUCAUGUUAUUUAUGAGAUUACAACAAGCAAAUCAUGCAGCCGCAUAACAUUCCUUCUCUUUUUCUGUCUUGCUGCACAAUUUAAGCUUCCAAUAUUGCUUCAAUUUGAUUUACAACAGCCCCUUGCUGAGACUAAAUGACUAUGCAUGAAGAUAAUAAUUCAAUCGCUUUCAAAAAAUCUACAAAUUCUGUUUUCUCUUUUUAAUGUUUGUAACAGGUGGUGAAACAUCAAGUCUCAACUGAGACUUGAACCCAGGGCCUCUGGCGUAUCGUGCCAGCACUCUAACCACUGAGCUACAUACUCCCCCUCUCAUGGUAGAAAUUCAUCCUUGAAUUUACGAGUAGAAUUCUAUGAGUGAAGGAAAUGUUGUAAAACAUGCUCCAAAGGAGUGACCGUCAGAUUUGUACGUUGGGCGCAAAAUGUAACAGGUGGUGAAAAGUCAAGUCCCAACCGGAACUCAAACCCAGGGCCUCUGGCAUACUGUGCCAGCACUCUAACCACUGAGAUAUUGAGACCCAAUAUAUUGACUAACAGUCACACACCUGUUAACUCAGUGACACCCUGUUUCUCUCUUACCAGUUUAAGUCCAUUCAUUCUGAAUUCAUCCAACUUUUCUUGACAUCUUUCAAGUGUUUUCAUGUGCUGAAAAGAUAUUUAUGAAUACUCUUGAUAUUUAUCAUAUAAGACUUGCAGGAAAGCCAAUAAAAGUGUAAAAUUUC
rnacentral:sRNA from 1 species